UACGUAGGGUGCGAGCGUUGUCCGGAAUUACUGGGCGUAAAGAGCUCGUAGGCGGUCUGUCGCGUCGGCUGUGAAAACUCGGGGCUCAACCCCGAGCCUGCAGUCGAUACGGGCAGACUAGAGGUAGGUAGGGGAGAAUGGAAUUCCCGGUGUAGCGGUGAAAUGCGCAGAUAUCGGGAGGAACACCGGUGGCGAAGGCGGUUCUCUGGGCCUUACCUGACGCUAAGGAGCGAAAGCGUGGGGAGCGAACAGG
rnacentral:rRNA from 1 species